rnacentral:misc_RNA from 1 species
GAUGAAGAACGCAGCGAAAUGCGAAAAGUAAUGUGAAUUGCAGAAUUCAGUGAAUCAUCGAAUCUUUGAACGCACAUUGCGCCCGCUGGUACUCCGGCGGGCACGCCUGUCCGAGCGUCAUUUCAACCCUCAAGCCCUCCUUCGGGAUGGGCCUUGUGUUGGGGCUCGGCCGCCAUCUCCGGCGGCCGUCCCCUAAAUACAGUGGCGGUCACGUCGCGACUCCUUUGCGUAGUAGAAACACCUCGCUCCGGAUAGCAACGCGGUCCACGCCGUAAAACCCCCAAUUUUCAAUGGUUGACCUCGGAUCAGGUGGGAAUACCCGCUGAACUUAAGCAUAUCAAUAAGCGGAGGA